GGACAUAGAGUGGCAAAUCUCUGGCAGCCUGGCAGACGGGCACCCUGGCAGCCCAAUGAUCAGGCUGUUUGGCCGAGUUUGUGAAUAAAAGCAGAUUGGGGCAAUCUCUCAGCAACCCUUGCCUUCGCAGUUUUAGAUAGUUGCUAAAUCAGGAAGUUCCUCGUUGGUUUUGUCCAGACCAAAUGCCAAAAGGGUAAGAGAUUGUGUCCUACAACAUCCUGGGCUCAGCAAACUGGAAUCUUGUGAUUGCAGAAUAUGUGGCCCAGAAGGAGUCUGGCCUUGCCUUGUCCACUCCCUCUUUUGCACCAGAGUCCUGGGGCUCUUACCCUUCGACUCUACAUGUGACCAAUGCCGAGGGUCUAGAGGACUAGAAACAAGGAUGUGCUCUGAUUUGUAUCCUUAUGGACUUCUAGGGCAUUUUUGCUCUCCCAAAUGAAGAUCUGGAACAGCCAAGACUGGAUGUUUCUCUGAACAAGUUUCUCCUUUUCUUCCUCCAAAGUCCAAGCUGACUUCCUCCAGUCUUCACCGCAAGCUGAAGUAAAACCUCCAAAUACUGGAAUAGUGAAACUUCGUGGGAAUGGGGGCUCCCCUACCCAGCACCUGCGGAGUAUGGUGUACAAACAGUGAGCUACAGGGCUUGAACUGCGGAGUGCUGUCCAGGAGGUGAGACAAGCCUGUGCUACGGAGCCCAGCACCCACUGACACAGGAUUAGAUGGACACAGAAUUGGCACCUUUGCUGCACCAAGCCGUGUUCCCGAGCAGAAUAAAAGGCAUCAACGGUUUGCUCUUUCAGUGUAA